rnacentral:rRNA from 1 species
UACGGAGGGAGCAAGCGUUGUCCGGAUUUAUUGGGUUUAAAGGGUGCGUAGGUGGGGUUUCAAGUCUGGUUUGAAAGUUAGCUGCUCAACAGUUAGACGUGGCUGGAAACUGGGAUGCUGGAAUGGGGUGGCGGCUGCCGGAACGGGUAAUGUAGCGGUGAAAUGCAUAGAUAUGACCCAGAACACCGAUUGCGAAGGCGGGCAGCUACGACCUGAUUGACACUGAGGUACGAGAGCAUGGGUAGCGAACAGG